UACGGGAGGCAGCAGUGGGGAAUAUUGGACAAUGGGCGAAAGCCUGAUCCAGCCAUGCCGCGUGAGUGAUGAAGGCCCUAGGGUUGUAAAGCUCUUUCAACGGUGAAGAUAAUGACGGUAACCGUAGAAGAAGCCCCGGCUAACUUCGUGCCAGCAGCCGCGGUAA
rnacentral:rRNA from 1 species